rnacentral:lncRNA from 1 species
GGGAGUCCUUUUGCGUUUCAGAUGCUCCCAGGCUCUCCCGCAGUUUAAAGACUUAACUCAGCGGCUUUCAGGGCCUGUGGUUGAGGGACUCCGAAAGAACUGUUGCUGGUGGACCGGUUCAGGGUCUUGACUUCGCCACACAAAAGAACUUGAGAGCACGUCCAAAGUAAAGCUAAGACCUCUAGUACAGUGUUCAAUGGAACUGGUGAGAAAAGACGUCCUUGCUGUGUUCCUGAUAUGAAGAGGAAAGCAGUCCUUCUCCAUUAAGUAAAAUGCUGACAACAUGAGCCUCCCGUGGUCGGAACGGGCUUGUGAAGGCGGUGCUGGGGUGCACCAGGGCAGCAGCUACAGAAUGCACCAGCUGGAGUCGACAUUAAAGGGCCCCAUUUCCCAUUUGCUGCAGAAGAUGUUUAAUUGGAAGUCUCUCCCUGUCCUUUUGUAAGCCUCAUUUCUGCAUAUUAGCUUUACACAUGAGUUCUGGGGUGACUGGUCAAGACGGGAGUCUGUGUGUAAUUAGACCAGACCAAGGAAGAAGCAGGAAGUUUGCUGGCGGAGAACAUGGGAGUCUCUGUAUCGCCUUUAAUCACUCUUCCUGCUUGGUGUAAUGUUCACAUGUUGUCUUUCAUCACAGCCAUGGGGACAGAGCGCCAGUUCAUGCUAUCUCCUCACGGGGCCCUUCGGUCCAUCUCCACCCACCACCCAGCCCUCACUGUCAUCUGUCUGACCCCAUUGGCCUUGCUCUUCUUUUUGGAACAUGAUAACCUCCCGCCAGCCGCCCCAGCACAGUCUCAGGACGUUUGCAUGUGUCGUGGCCCCUGCACACUGUUUCCUCAGCUCCUGGCCUGCUUGUUCCCUUCCCAUUACCCUUGUCUCUGCUUAAGCAUCAGCUCCUCAGAGGUCCUCCUGACCAGCCCAUUGCAAGUACCCUUUCCCCUUCCUCCUUGCGGUUCUGUUGCUCCCUCCACCUUGCAGCUCUGCAGCUUCCCGUGAAUGUGAUUGUUUACAUGCUGACUAUCAUGUCCCCCACCUGGCUGUUCACCCCUUGACACCAGCACCAGCUUUCUUUCUGGCUGCGUUGCUGCCUGUGCCUGCAGUGGUGGCUCCGUAAGCAUCUGCUGAACAAACGCAUGGAUGAAUGAGCCCUUUCAGAUCCAGGCUGUGUGGGGCUCAAAAUUAAAGAAAACAACAUACAAAAUGACACAUAUAAAAUUAGGAAUGGGGUUUAUUUAAAUUCUUAAAAGCUGCUAAA